AGUUAAUCCCACCCAUGUGUUUCAGCUUCUCUCUGUCUCUGACAGAGAAGUGAUAACCAGCAACCUUGCUGCCACCCCCAGAUAACAUGCAGCUUCGACCAGCCUUCUGCUUUAAAGCCUGGAGGCCACAGGGAAUGAACAGGAGGCUCUGCACACUCCAAGGAGGAAAUAGGUCCAGCUGGCCACAGGACACUGAUGCCACACUCUGGCAACCAGCACAUGUGGGUAGACGUCCCCAACCCUGCAGCUGAGAGAUGCUGGGUGCCCCCUUGAGUGCCAGGUGUCAGCUGCUGGGGGGGUUGCCAUGGAGGACGGAAGCUGCCCGCUGAACUUUGGUUGGGUUUGAAUUCGCUUAGAACGGGGAAUCCAAGCAGUUGUGGGAUAGCCCAGAGAUGCUGAGGACCCAGCUCACCUCCUGGCUUCUUUGUGAAGAACACUGAGCUGGCUGGAGGAAGAGAAUGGCACCCAGGACUUUGAAACCGCUUACCAGAAAAUUCCACCAAGCACCAUGACUCAGCCUUCACCCUCAUCACCAGCGUGUCUGCCUGAAGCUUGGGAAGAAGCCUUGUAGACAUUCCCUACCUUGAGAGUCACUAGCCCAGGUUUGGCCUGGAAAUCACUGUGUAGAUCGUGCUAAGUUCACAUCAGUUCUCACCUAUUUACACAAAGGAGUUUUGAGCUCCCCCAUCUUGUCCCACUGUCUGGCCUCUCUGCAACCUCCAUGGGGCUUGUAAUCUGUAUUCCAAUCACAAUGGGCAAAGCCUCCAAAUCUUUGUUUGUCUAUUUUUGUUUUGUUUUAUUUUGAGUCAGUGUUUCUCUGUGUAGCCCUGACUGUCCUAGAACUUGCACUAUAAGACCAGGCUGGCCUAGAACUCAGAGAUCUGCCUGCCUCUGCCUUCUGAGUUCUGGGAUUAAAGGCGUGUGCCACCACCGCUCAGCCCAAAUAUCUUCAAUAAACCCAUUCCCCCACCUUC